UGCAGUUCGAAUGCCAAGAGUUUUGCAAGCAUACGCCCACCAGAGAGCUCGAAUUUCAUCACAUCUCCGGCUCAGGUCACACGACCGGUCCUGUCUGGCACUGACAGGCACUGGCAUCUCAGUCUGCAAAAUCUGUUCCCACUUCUGAAUCUUCCUUUGAUGUCACCAGGCAAUGAAGACACACCGAAAUGCACUUUUCAGACAAGUGGAGAUUCAAAGAAAAAGGUGUCCACGUGCAAAAGGCCUGUCUUUGUAUAGAUCCUAAAACCUGAUAAAGCUCACCAUUGCACCAGUAUUUCAGCUAACCUGCUUUAAUGGUUUUUAAAUCAGUUGUUUAUUUUACCUUACAAUGCA
rnacentral:lncRNA from 1 species